rnacentral:tRNA from 1 species
UUUCUCUUAGCUUAAACUUAAAGUGUCAAUUUGAAGCGUUGAAGAUAAUAUUGUUAGAGAGAC